rnacentral:rRNA from 1 species
UUGGAGGGCAAGUCUGGUGCCAGCAGCCGCGGUAAUUCCAGCUCCAAUAGCGUAUAUUAAAGUUGUUGCAGUUAAAAAGCUCGUAGUUGAACUUCAGACCUGACCGGGCGGUCCGCCUAACGGUGUGUACUGUCUGGCCGGGCCUUACCUCUUGGUGAGCCGGCAUGCCCUUCACCGGGUGUGUCGGGGAACCAGGACCUUUACCUUGAGAAAAUUAGAUCGCUUAAAGAAGGCCUAUGCUCGAAUGCUUUAGCAUGGAAUAAUAGAAUAGGA